GAUGAUGAUGAUGAUGAUGAUUUGGUGCAUUUAGGUUCUAUCCAAAGCAGAGUUAUAGUUCCUUGCAUUGCUUCCCAGCCUCCAUCCCAAAGUCAAGGUCAUUGCUGAAUGUGGAAACUGGAGAAAAGUCAUGUGGAAGCCACUCAAAGAAAUUGCAGGACUAACUCAAGAUGGUGCACCAUCUCCAGUCUCAACUCCAGGAAUGUCUUAAGAACUUCAUACAUGUUAAAGGAAGAUGCAUGUGACAAUGGCAAAUAAAAACUUCUAUAAGUUCUUACUA